rnacentral:rRNA from 1 species
UACAGAGGUCCCAAGCGUUGUUCGGAAUUACUGGGCGUAAAGGGCGCGUAGGCGGCCUGCUAAGUCGGAUGUGAAAUCCCGGGGCUCAACCCCGGAACUGCAUUGGAUACUGCCUUGCUCGAGUACUGGAGAGGGAACUGGAAUUUACGGUGUAGCAGUGAAAUGCGUAGAGAUCGUAAGGAAGGCCAGUGGCGAAGGCGAGUUCCUGGACAGUUACUGACGCUGAGGCACGAAGGCCAGGGGAGCAAACGGG